UAGAACACGACAUAAGUGAGAACCCUAAGUACCUCUCUCGCGCCGCCGUCACCUGAGUUCUAGAUCUGCAUCGCUCCUUUUUCCGCCUCAAGCUUCAUCCCACUCCUCCAUCUCUCCAUUCCUCCAUGUGUAGAUAAAUUUGUUGUUUCUUCUGGAUUUACUAGCAAUCUUCAACAAUUCUCGAUUUCAAUCUGUGUUUUGAUUUCUUCUACUUGUUUGAUUGUUUCUAUUCUUGGAUCUAACUGAUGUUGUUUUGAUUUAUCAUCUUAGUCGUUCUCCUUCCGUGUCUCCGGUGUGUCUGCGACGUUGCUCCUUGCGUCUCAGCUUCCUAUUUCUGGCGGUGCUUUUCGUUCCUCCUGUUGCUGGCAAACCAAAUGAAGAUGACAAUGAGUAGGAGGAUUUGUCUUUGGUGAUUAUGGCAAAAAUUUCAGGACAUUUCACAAACCACAUGAUGAUUUUACCAAAGGAAAUCUCACAAUCAACCAUUGUUCAUAUGUGAUUCCAUCAACUUGUCUAUUAUUCUUAUAGAAGGAAGAACAU